rnacentral:piRNA from 1 species
AAAGAAAAGUAACGGUGUCGAUG